rnacentral:rRNA from 1 species
AUUGAACGCUGGCGGAAUGCUUUACACAUGCAAGUCGAACGGCAGCACGGGUGCUUGCACCUGGUGGCGAGUGGCGAACGGGUGAGUAAUGCACCGGAACGUAUCCAAUAAUGGGGGAUAACGCACCGAAAGGUGUGCUAAUACCGACAUACGCCCUGAGGGGGAAAGCGGGGGAUCGUAAGACCUCGCGUUAAUGGAGCGGCCGAUGCCGGAUUAGCUAGUUGGUGAGGUAAAGGCUCACCAAGGCGACGAUCCGUAGCUGGUCUGAGAGGACGACCAGCCACACUGGAACUGAGACACGGUCCAGACUCCUACGGGAGGCAGCAGUGGGGAAUUUUGGACAAUGGGCGCAAGCCUGAUCCAGCCAUUCCGCGUGAGUGAAGAAGGCCUGGUUGUUAAAGGCUCUUUCGUC